rnacentral:rRNA from 1 species
GACGUAGGGUGCGAGCGUUUGUCCGGAUUUAUUGGGCGUAAAGGGCGCGUAGGCGGCGUGACAAGUCACUUGUGAAAUCUCCGGGCUUAACCCGGAGCGGCCAAGUGAUACUGUCGUGCUAGAGUGCGGAAGGGGCUACUGGAAUUCUCGGUGUAGCGGUGAAAUGCGUAGAUAUCGAGAGGAACACCUGCGGCGAAGGCGGGUAGCUGGGCCGACACUGACGCUGAGAGACGAAAGCUAGGGGAGCGAAUGGG